rnacentral:tRNA from 1 species
AAGAUUUUAAGUUAAUUUAAACUAGAGACCUUCAAAGCCUCAAAUUAUAAGUCUUA